rnacentral:rRNA from 1 species
GAUGAACGUUGGCGGCGUGCCUAAUACAUGCAAGUCGAGCGAACAGGCGAGGAGCUUGCUCCUCUGACGUUAGCGGCGGACGGGUGAGUAACACGUGGAUAACCUACCUAUAAGACUGGGAUAACUUCGGGAAACCGGAGCUAAUACCGGAUAAUAUAUUGAACCGCAUGGUUCAAUAGUGAAAGACGGUUUUGCUGUCACUUAUAGAUGGAUCCGCGCCGCAUUAGCUAGUUGGUAAGGUAACGGCUUACCAAGGCAACGAUGCGUAGCCGACCUGAGAGGGUGAUCGGCCACACUGGAACUGAGACACGGUCCAGACUCCUACGGGAGGCAGCAGUAGGGAAUCUUCCGCAAUGGGCGAAAGCCUGACGGAGCAACGCCGCGUGAGUGAUGAAGGUCUUCGGAUCGUAAAACUCUGUUAUUAGGGAAGAACAAAUGUGUAAGUAACUAUGCACGUCUUGACGGUACCUAAUCAGAAAGCCACGGCUAACUACGUG